ACAAAAACUCCUGAUUAGAACCUGUGCAGCACCUUGAGUGGACCUGCAGUUCUGAGAGCCUCCUGAGGGCAGGAAGGGAGCGAGGCUCCUGAGACCCACCUGCUGCGGGCAGCUGCCAGCCGCUGGACCCAAGCUGCUCACCUCCUCACCAGGAGUCUAUGACCCACCCCCCAUCCUUCCCUUCAACACAGGUUGGGAAGCUACCUGAAGGGAUGCCACAGGGAGAAGAUGGCAUGGAAUCUAGGAAACAGUGGCUCCAAACUAGAAGAGUGCAAGGCCAGCAACACGGGCUGCAUCCCGCCUGCCUGUCAGCCAGGAGUGGCCACGUGACAGAGGCCAACCAAUGAGACGUGAGCACCGUCUGGGAAGUCGCCUGCCUCUGCUACCGUCCGCUCCUUCCUGGGGCCCCAGGACACGUGGGUCCUGGGCCCUGCCACUGCUGCCCACUCACAGCCAGGCCCGAGGGCCGGCCUAGGCCUGCCAUGGCUUCAGCAGCCCCCACCACGGGCUUUCUCUGGCCAGAUGUAAAGCUCACAGGCUUCCUCGCCACCAGACACCUAGAGCUCGGCCUCCCACCACGGCCAAGGUAGGAAUCUGGUUUGUUCACCGUGAUCCUGACACCUGGAUCGGCACCUGCACGCCGGGCGGUUCCAGCAUCAGAGAACCGAGGACAGAAGAGGUCAAGGUCAAGGGUUGGGAAGCCCGUUGGGGCAGGGAAGGGCCUGGAGCAGAGGGUCUGAAUAGAUACGUGCAUUCAGAUCACAAAGACAGGCCAGGCCAGGCUGGGCUGGGAACUGGUGCCGUCCUCCAGGCAGUGGACCAGGAGUGUCCAGCUCCACCCACCUGAGACAGCAGAAGCGGGGCAGGGGGGCACGUUGCA